rnacentral:lncRNA from 1 species
GUGAGAUCUCGUCUUAAAGUCUUCUCCAAUUACUCAUUCUUUUAAAUUUUUCUUUAGUAAUGCAAAUACUUAGAACCUACUUUGUCAUUAAGGAAGACAUUUUAUGUUAUGUUAUGUUAUGUUAUGUUAUGUUAUGUUAUGUUAUGUUAUGUUAUGUUAUGUUAUUUUUCCUGGAAGUUCCUGGGCCAAGGAUCAAACCCACACCACAGAAGCAACCCAAGCCUCUGCAGUAACAAUGCCAGAUCCUUAACCCUCUGUACCACAAGGGAACUCCUUAUAAGACUUUUAAAAUUAUUCUUUACGAUAUAUAUAAAACUUGGCUACCCAACAGAGCUAUAAGUUUUGAAAGGGAAGAAAAGUCUAUGUAUUGCCUUUAUAUCCCUAUCAGUGUCAUGUAUAGUGUUGAGAAGGUAGCAGUUUAACAGAUACUUGACAGAAUUUCUAAAAAUUAUAUUUAGGUUCAUGAUAACUAAGUGAAUUGAAUCUUCCACCAAGCAAUUCCAUCAUUUGUACAUAAAAUUUUAAGUACAAGAUUUUUUUUAAUUAAGCAAAUUUUAAUAAUUAAUUGUUCAUCUAUUUUAUGUUUCUAUCUCUAAACAGAGCACUGUUCAUGCUCAAAUGCUUAAUUAGUAGAAGAAGGCUCUUCCUCUGACAACUUCCUGUCAAGAGGUUAUUUAAAACUCUGAGGUGUAUUGCUUUAGAAGACUGACACACUGGUGAUUUAAUACGGAGUGAUGCCUAAAUAAUGGAUGAUGGGGGAGCUAUUAAUAAAGGAACCUACCUUGUGCCCUGAAAGUCUCGUGAAUAAUGUGAAAGUUAUCUUAAGAAGACUAACUGCUUGGUAAAGAUUGUGGGUUCAUGAAGAAUUGUUGCCUCUUCUACUGCUCCAGAUAUUUCUGAGCAGUUUUGUACUUAGCUGCUGUUCUUAUUAAACUGCCAAAUCCAAUAUGGAAAGAAAGGUUGUGCUUUUGUAAUUUAGUAUUCUGAUCUGCAUCCGCCUUCAUGAGAAUUUCUACUAUCAAAACACCCUAGAGAAUUAAUAUGCAGAUUAAAAAUAGGCCCUGAGUGCCACCAAAAGCUAGAAGUCUAUUAUUUGUAGAAAUCCAGGCAUAGAAAGGAAGAUGCUCCACAUAAAAUAAUUACUAGUACAGUCCAAUUAGCAUUGUCUUUUAAGGUAAAAUUAUUUUUAAAGGCGUUUGCAGAAAAAUGUCUAGAGGUAAAAUUUAUCUAAUAAUGGAUUAUAAAAACAAAAAAAUCAGUUUUAUCAUUAUUGCAUCUUAUGUGCAAAACCUUGUAUUAUUAUAAAGGUUUCUUUUAGUAUUCCUCCCAAGUACCUGCCAAAAGGGCUAGAAUUUUCAAUCCUUCCACCUAAAGCCCAGGAAAAAAAGUAUUAUUUUCUCAAAUCUUUUCUUUAAUGGAGAAUUAAACCAAAUUUCAAGCAUUAUUCAAAGACCUAAGGAAAUCUCAAUGAAAGUUAGGGACAGGGAUCACAAAAGUAAAAUGCACAAAAAUUUAACCUUUACCAAUGGAAAACUGAAACAAAAUAAAGCCAACUUGUAGACUUUGAAGAAGCUUAAAUAAUUCACUAGGUGUUUUGCUUCAGAAAUGAGGAUUUGUAGAAAAAAAAAUAUUAAGCAAUAAUGGAGGUUAAGCUCUAGUUUUAGAAUCAGAGAAAUUGGUUUUGAAUUUCAGCUAGACAAUCUAUGGCUAUAUGACCUUGGGUUGGUCACAUGAUAUCUGAAUUUUCUUACUUUUAAAAUAGGAAGAAUAAUGUCAUUCAAACUUAUUUCACCAAGCAGUCUUAUGGAAUAGGAAUGUGAAAUACUUCAGAAAUGUAAGUUAUUAUAUCUUCAUAUUUAUUUUUAUACAAUAUAUGCACUUUUUAAUCCUUUGCGUAUAUGGAAUGAUUGCACUCUAUGACAUUUCAGAGAAGAAAAAAAAAAGCUGCUUAGAGAGAAAACAUAGUAACUUCCACUGGAUACUAUGUGCUAGACAUUUAUACAGACAUUAUUUGAUUUGAUUCUCAAAGUAACCCUCUAAUUUAAGUGUUUGCUUUAAAUCCAGUUGAUGGAUUGAGGAAACGCAUGCUCAAAGAAGUUAAAUACUUGUCUAGGUCAGAGCAUAAAUAGCAGAGUUAGCUUGAUCCUAGAUUCUCUCCAAAUACUGUCCUCUUCUCCACCAUAGGGCACUGAAGAUCUCUUCUGCUCACAGGGCUGCUAAAAGUGAGAGACUAUUUCUGGGAGGAAUCAAUCCCCAUGAUGAAGACUUAGAUGGUACCUGCCUAUCAAGACGGAGGACAGAAGAUGCCCCCUCUUUAGACAACCGUGACAUGAAGUAUCUGCUACUUUGUCCACGUAUUCAAUCUUUUCUGUGCUUACUUACUCUGCUUCCUUGCUUCUAUCCUCUCAGACAAGAAAGCAAAUGAGCUGAUGAAAAACAAGGUAUAAAGGCUGAGUUUUAAAGGAACUACACUAAAGAAAUAGGAGAAAGUCAUAUUUUCUAGUCCUAUUAUGUCUUUGAUUUUAGGUUAUCUAAUUUAAGCUGUUAAUAAGACUUCCAUAGGUAUAUAUUAUUAUCACCAUUUUAUAGCAGAAUAAAUGCGCAUACAGUCAGGUCAGGUCACUUGUCUUGGAGGCUGAUGUGAUCCCAAAUUGUCUGUUUCCACAGUCUCUCUUGUCCUAUUACAACAGAAUGCAAAAUAGGGGACACAACAUAGUGUAAGGCACUCACUGUCAUUCAGGGCUGUAUACAGUUUCAUGGCAGUGAAAUUGGUUCACAGUGAAAAGUCUUAUUCUUUUUUAUAUACAAAGCACAGAUAUGCAUAGAACACAUCAACAAACAUACAAUAUAUCUGGGGUAUUAAAAUUUCAUCUGUGGUAACUAGAAAAAAAAAUUCUAAGAAGACUGCUUAGGAGGACAACAAUGAAAAAAAAAAAGCUGAGAAACAAUGACAUAAGAAGAGAAAAAUACACCUACUAGUGAGCUAAAUUUACACUGGCUUUGGUUCUAGUCUAGGUCAGAACCAGGUCAAAAUCAUUACUCUGCCGCUUUAUCCAUGGAGGUAUCAUCACAUCCUAGAAUACAAGGGAUAGAGUAGGGGCACUUUUCAAUCCCUGUGCUGGAGUGUUGAAAUGACAUCCAGUCCAAUGGAAGUCUGGGAGAACUGGCAAGAUCAAACUACCAUGGUUCUAAAUAAUGAGAGAAUCAGAGCGAGGUAUGAGACCAAGCCAUGUUUUGACAGGCUCACCUCUGUUACCUUACAACCCAGACAUUGCAUUUACAAAGAUUCGGGUGUGAAUCUUGACCUUGCAAUUUAUAAUUGAGUGCAACUGAUUUAUCUUCUUCUUGUGCCUCAGUUUUUCCAUCUGUAAAAUGGGAAUGUUCCUGUGUACUCAAGUAAUAGCCAGGAGGAGAAAAUAUGUAAAAUACUUAGUAUUGUGCCUGGCUGAUAAAAAGGAUGAGACUAGAAUAAUAAUUUCAACAACUAACUUAAACUCUCCUUAGAUCUGGAAUAAUAUAUAGUAUGUGACCCAUUAAAAAUCAUGAACCCACAGCUCAGAGGUCAUCUCCUUAAAAGUCCCACCUGCAUCCCUGCCUCUUCUCAUUUAACUAUCUCCUUGGUUCAUGCUUCUUUUGUUGGGCUACUUUUACUGUUUGGGCUGUUUUCUUCCCCUAAUUUUGUCCCAUCCCUAGAGUUGAUGGUGGUUUCAUUUUUAGCUGGUUGUGAAAAUGAGAGAAGAGUAUCUUCCUAAAGGGACAACUUGGUACUGUUUUACCAAAAGAAGGGUAAAUAAACUGAAGGGUAAGAUAAAUAAGGAAGGAAGGAAUGAAUUCAAAGUCAAAAUGAACAUUAAUAAUUUUUUUUUUACCCUCACCAUACUUCAACAGUAUUUUCCAUAUCUUCUCGGGGUGCUGAAGGAUUCUCUAGCUCAAAUGUUUAAAUUCAGAAAGUCUGUCAUAGAUCGUGUUUCCCCUCACAAAGCCUUGCAUAGCAUUUUGCAUAAAGCACUCAAUAAGUUUUGUACCAUUCUUCCAAAAAUUUCUGCUUCACCAUUCUACUAAAUAUUUUUUUUUUCUUGAAAGUGACCAAUGUUCUAAUUUUAGAACCAAAGGUUCGCCCAUGUUUUUUCAUGGCUUCAUUUAUUUUUAGCUCAUUUCUUUUCAGCACUGAAUAAAAUUUUAUUGUGUGGAUGUCCA